rnacentral:tRNA from 2 species
GCUCCCGUAGCUCAGCCGGAAAGAGCAGCCGGUUCCUAACCGGCAGGUCGCGUGUUCGAGUCACGCCGGGAGUACCA